GACGAACGCUGGCGGCGUGCUUAACACAUGCAAGUCGAACGGAAAGGCCCUGCUUUUGUGGGGUGCUCGAGUGGCGAACGGGGGCGUAACACGUGAGUAACCUGCCCUUGUCUUUGGGAUAACUUCAGGAAACUGGGGCUAAUCCCGUAUAGGAGCUCCUGCUGCAUGGUGGGCGUUGGAAAGUCUCGGCGGUUGGGGUUGGAUUGGCGGCUUAUCAGCUUGCUGGUGGGGGAGUGGCUUACCAAGGCUUUGACCGGUAGCCGGCCUGGGUGGGUGACCGGGGACAUUGGGACUACGGGAGGGCCCAGACUCCUACGGGAGGCAGCAGUGGGGAAUAUUGCACAGUGAGCGCGAGCCGGAUACGGCAGCGCCGCGGGCGUGAUGACGGUCUUCGGGGUGAGAACCGCUUUCGCCUGUGACGAAGCGGGAGUGACGGUAAUGAAUAAAGAAGCACCGGCUAACUACGUG
rnacentral:rRNA from 1 species